AUUGAACGCUGGCGGCAGGCCUAACACAUGCAAGUCGAGCGGAUGAAGGGAGCUUGCUCCUGGAUUCAGCGGCGGACGGGUGAGUAAUGCCUAGGUAUCUGCCUGGUAGUGGGGGAUAACGUCCGGAAACGGGCGCUAAUACCGCAUACGUCCUGAGGGAGAAAGUGGGGGAUCUUCGGACCUCACGCUAUCAGAUGAGCCUAGGUCGGAUUAGCUAGUUGGUGGGGUAAAGGCCUACCAAGGCGACGAUCCGUAACUGGUCUGAGAGGAUGUUCAGUCACACUGGAACUGAGACACGGUCCAGACUCCUACGGGAGGCAGCAGUGGGGAAUAUUGGACAAUGGGCGAAAGCCUGAUCCAGCCAUGCCGCGUGUGUGAAGAAGGUCUUCGGAUUGUAAAGCACUUUAAGUUGGGAGGAAGGGCAGUAAGUUAAUACCUUGCUGUUUUGACGUUACCAACAGAAUAAGCACCGGCUAACUUCGUG
rnacentral:rRNA from 1 species